rnacentral:rRNA from 1 species
AGAGUUUGAUCCUGGCUCAGAAUGAACGCUGGCGGCGUGCUUAACACAUGCAAGUCGAGCGAGAAAGUUCCUUCGGGAAUUAGUACAGCGGCAGACGGGUGAGUAAUACAUGGGAAUCUGCCUUUGAGUGAAGGAUACCCUUGAGAAAUCAAAGUUAAUACUGCAUAUCUCCUUACGGAGAAAGAUGGCUUUUAUGCUGUCGCUCGAAGAUGAGCCCAUGCGCUAUUAGCUAGUUGGUGGGGUAAUGGCCUACCAAGGCGAUGAUGGCUAGCCGGCCUGAGAGGGUGAACGGCCACACUGGAACUGAGACACGGUCCAGACUCCUACGGGAGGCAGCAGUGAGGAAUAUUGCACAAUGGGCGAAAGCCUGAUGCAGCGACGCCGCGUGGAGGAUGAAGGUCUUAGGAUUGUAAACUCCUGUUAAGUGAGAAGAAAGAACCACUUUUAAUAGAGGUGGGAGAUGACGUUAUCACUAGAGAAAGCACCGGCUAACUUCGUGCCAGCAGCCGCGGUAAUACGAGGGGUGCAAGCGUUAUUCGGAAUGACUGGGCGUAAAGGGUGCGUAGACGGCACGUUAAGUCUUUUGUUAAAUACCUCAGCCUAACUGGGGGUCAGCGGAAGAAACUGGCGAGCUAGAGGUUGGAAGAGAGAAGUGGAAUUCUCGGAGUAGCGGUAAAAUGCGUAGAUCUCGAGAGGAACACCAAUGGCGAAGGCAGCUUCUUGGUCCAAAUCUGACGUUGAUGCACGAAAGCGUGGGGAGCAAACAGGAUUAGAUACCCUGGUAAUCCACGCUGUAAACGAUGAUCACUAGAUGUUGGUUUUGCGUUGCAGAAUCAGUAUCGUAGCUAACGCGUUAAGUGAUCCGCCUGGGGAGUACGGUCGCAAGAUUGAAACUCAAAGGAAUUGACGGG